rnacentral:sRNA from 1 species
GCUGGGUGCAGUGGUGCAUGCCUGUAAUCCCAGUGGCUGGGGAGGCUGAGGCAGGAGGAUCAUGACUUCAAAGCCAGCCUCAGCAAAAGCGAGAUGCUGAGCAACUCAGGGAUACCCUGUCUCUA